AUUGAACGCUGGCGGCAGGCCUAACACAUGCAAGUCGAGCGAGCGUCGGACGGGUGAGUAAUGUAUGGGGACUGCCCGAUAGAGGGGGAUAACUACUGGAAACGGUAGCUAAUACCGCAUACUAUCCGAUAACCCAUAUGGGAUUAGCUAGUAGGGUGGGUAAUGGCUCACCUAGGCGACGAUCCCUAGCUGGUCUGAGAGGAUGAUCAGCAAGGCGGGGACUGAGACACGGCCCAGACUCCAAGGGAGGAAGCAGGGGGGAAUAUUGCACAAUGGGCGCAGGCCUGAGGCAGCCAUGCCGCGUGUAUGAAGAAGGCCCUAGGGUUGUAAAGUACUGUCAGUCGGGAGGCGUUACCGACAGAAGAAGCACCGGCUAACUCCGUGCCAGCAGCCGCGGUAAUAC
rnacentral:rRNA from 1 species